CCCAGACAGAGGCGAUUUACUCUUUCAAAUUUGGUCCUUGCCCUCUGGCUUUCCGUGUGAGUCAGCGUCGCUGCCCCAGUGCCCUCGGCUCCCUCCCGAGUCUGUCUGCAGGCGGCCUCCCAGAUGAGGAAACUGAGGUGCUGGGAAGUAAAGACCUGAGCUCCAGGUCAUGUAGCCGGCAGGUGGUGAAGUGCACACGCAAUGCCUCUUAAAGCAUUAACCUCUGUGACUCAGGGUCUCACUGAGGGUAACUACCCUCUAUCCAGUGGCGGGAGCCCCAGAAGCCUCGCUCCCGUCUGUCUGCUGGGAGGGAGCCUGAGGUGAGCUGUCGGCACCUUCAGCGGGAGCAGGACUCUGGCUUCCGGCUGUAGCUCGCAGCCCGGGGUUUGUUUGUAUAAAGGGCCGGGGUGGGUUGUUCCUACUGCUCCAGCUUUUGCAUUUGGGGGAGAAAAACAUCUUGGUCAAAACAAUGGGAAUGGCAGCCUGGAAUGAAAGGAACAAAAGGCAUCCAGUCAGAGCCCAGGUUCCCUUCCAACCCCCCACCCACACACACCCCUGCACGAAUUUCUUGCUUCUCAGCACUUGCCUGACAGGCUGCCUCCAGUGCUUAUUUCAAAAUACCGACUGAGAAAGUUCCCUCGGCCUCGGUCGUGUAGUA